AGUGGCGGACCGGGUGAGUAACGCGUAGGAAUCUGCCUGAUAGUGGGGGAUAGCCCAGAGAAAUCUGGAUUAAUACCGCAUAAUAUCUAUGGAUUAAAGUGGAGGAUCUUCGGACUUCACGCUAUCAGAUGAGCCUGCGUAAGAUUAGUUUGUUGGUAAGGUAAUGGCUUACCAAGGCGACGAUCCCUAGCUGGUCUUAGAGGAUGACCAGCCACACUGGAACUGAGACACGGUCCAGACUCCUACGGGAGGCAGCAGUGGGGAAUAUUGCACAAUGGAGGAAACUCUGAUGCAGCUAUGCCGCGUGUGUGAAGAAGGCUUUCGGGUUGUAAAGCACUUUCAGCGAGGAGGAAAGGGUGUUGCUUAAUACGCAACAUCUGUGACGUACUCGCAGAAGAAGCACCGCUAACU
rnacentral:rRNA from 1 species